rnacentral:rRNA from 1 species
CAGUAGCCGCGGUAAUACAGAGGGUGCGAGCGUUAAUCGGAUUUACUGGGCGUAAAGCGUGCGUAGGCGGCUUCUUAAGUCGGAUGUGAAAUCCCUGAGCUUAACUUAGGAAUUGCAUUCGAUACUGGGAAGCUAGAGUAUGGGAGAGGAUGGUAGAAUUCCAGGUGUAGCGGUGAAAUGCGUAGAGAUCUGGAGGAAUACCGAUGGCGAAGGCAGCCAUCUGGCCUAAUACUGACGCUGAGGUACGAAAGCAUGCGGAGCAAACAGGAUUAGAUACCCCCGUAGUCCCUGUCUCUUAUAC